AUAGUACUCCCUCCAUCCGAAAUUACUUGUGUCACCAAAAUGGAAAUAAAUGAAUGUAUCUAGAUCUAAAAUAUAUCUAGAUACAUCCACUUCUAUGACAAAUAAUUCCGAACGAAGGGAGUAGAAU
rfam:Hordeum vulgare subsp. vulgare, WGS project CAJW01000000 data, contig: morex_contig_1735166